AAAAUUUAUAUGAGAAAGGGGGGUCUGAGACUUGGGAGUUUUCGAAUUUUCAUUUGAGAGAGAGAGAGAAGAUUCGCAGUUCGUAGAACGCACUGUUGAAUUAACCUAAUGGGAACUACAACUAAGCUAACAUCCUCAUCUGUUAAGAGAUUUAUUAUCAAACCGACAAAUAUACCAAACCGUAUUGAAGUAAGGCCUUACGCCGAAGCAGUUCAGGCAAUGGAGGCUCGGGUCAUUGCUGUUGAACGGCGACUUGAGGAAUUGGAAGCCAGAAUGGCUGAUAUGCGAAGAGAUUUUUUUAGAGACAUUUGAGAAAUGAAUGGAUCUUUUCCAAGAAGAGGUUUAUCAAGCUUUUUGGUAAUUCAAAGCAGGAUUCUUUCAAGGCAAAGGGAACAAUGUCAGGUGUGUUGCAACUGAAAUGGCCUAGGACAGUAUUUGUUGGAUUUUUGGUAUGUUAAAAAUGAAAAUAUACAAUUUCAUUAACUGUAAUGAAAUGGCCUAGGACAGUAUUUGUUGGAUUUCAGUGUCGUUCUAGUUAUCCAUUAAUUAAAAAAAAUAUAGUCCAAUGAAAUGCAAUGUCUGAAGUAAAUGGCUAGUUGUUUUUAUAUGGCAAAUUUAUAGAGCUAGUAACGGGUGAGAA